rnacentral:rRNA from 1 species
AAGUCGUAACAAGGUCUCCGUUGGUGAACCAGCGGAGGGAUCAUUACCGAGUGAGGGCCCUCUGGGUCCAACCUCCCACCCGUGUCUAUCGUACCUUGUUGCUUCGGCGGGCCCGCCUCACGGCCGCCGGGGGGCUUCUGCCCUCUGGCCCGCGCCCGCCGAAGACACCAUUGAACGCUGUCUGAAGAUUGCAGUCUGAGCGAAAAGCUAAAUUUAUUAAAACUUUCAACAACGGAUCUCUUGGUUCCGGCAUCGACGAAGAACGCAGCGAAAUGCGGUAAGUAAUGUGAAUUGCAGAAUUCCGUGAAUCAUCGAAUCUUUGAACGCACAUUGCGCCCCCUGGUAUUCCGGGGGGCAUGCCUGUCCGAGCGUCAUUGCAACCCCUUCAAGCCCGGCUUGUGUGUUGGGCGUCGUCCCCGCUGGACGCGCCCGAAAGGCAGUGGCGGCUCCGUGUCCGGUGCCCGAGCGUAUGGGCUUUAUCACCCGCUCCAGAGGCCCGGCCGGCGCUGGCCCCGCGAGCCUUGACUGAACUCCAGUUAAGGUCUCAACUAAAACUUUUCGUGGUCGACCUCGGAUCAGGUAGGGAUACCCGCUGAACUUAA